UUUCAAUGUUCAGACACCACCAUCCUUGGGGAAAAAAAAAGAAGAAGAAAGACAGCAGGAAUAUUUCCCAACACUUAGAAAGCAAACAACAGGCCAGGUGCAGUGGCUCACACCUGUAAUCUCAGCAUUUUGGGAGGCCGAAGUGGGCGGAUCACAUGAGGCCAGGAGCUCAAGACCAGCCUGGCCAACAUGGCGAAACCCCGUCUCUACUAAAAAUACAAAAAUUAUCCAGGUGUAGUGGUGCACGUCUGUAAUCCCAGCUACUCGGGAGGCUGAGGCACAAGAAUCAUUUGAACCUGGGAAGUGGAAGUUGCAGUGAGCCAAGAUCACGCCACUGCACUCCAGCCUGGGCAACAGAAGGAGACUCAAAAAAGAAAGGAGGAAGGGA
rnacentral:lncRNA from 1 species